rnacentral:rRNA from 1 species
AACGAACGCUGGCGGCAUGCCUAACACAUGCAAGUCGAACGAGAACUGCGGUUCUGAUGCUGCACAGGUGCGAAACGCUUGGGAAUCUGCCCUUAGGUUCGGAAUAACGCCCCGUAAGGGGUCCUAAUACCGGCUAAUAUCUUCUGCCCAAAGAUUUAUCGCCUUUGGGUGCGCCCGCCUUGGAUCAUCUAGUUGGUACUGUAAAAGCCUACCAAGGCGAAGAUCUAUAGCUGGUCAGAGAGGAUGAUCAGCCACACUGAGACUGAGACACAGCCCAGACUCCUACGGGAGGCAGCAGUGGGGAAUAUAGCACAAUGGGCGAAAGCCUGAUCCAGCAAGGCCGCGUGAGUGAUGAAGGACUUAGGGUUGUAAAGCUCUUUUACCCGGGAUGAUAAUGACAGUACCGGAAGAAUAAGCGCCGGCUAACUCCGUG